CUGGUCGCCGCCGAGGUCGGGCUCCCCGCAGAAGGCGUCGGGCUCGAACGACCUCGCGGCGGCGUCGCUGUACACCCCGGGGAUGGCCCUCCCGCCAGCGGGGUUCUCCAGCGGCUCCCUCGGCUUCUCGGUGUUGGCGUAGAGGAGGAUGCAGAGGGUCAGCGACACCGCCAGGCCCACCAGGGUGAACUUCACUCUGUUCAGCACCGGCUUCACCUGAAGAAGCAGCAUGUGCUACCAUGGGUCAGCGUUACACAGAAGGUGGCCAGCACGGCGCCGCUUGAAUGAGAUGGGAUACUGGAAAUAGACAGCAUCAUCAGGGAGAAGACUUGAGAUGAUGUAAAGACCAACUGUUUCUUAUUGCUUAGUCUCGUAAAGCUAUAAUGCGUAGCCUGUUACACCAAACAAA